rnacentral:rRNA from 1 species
CAGCCGCCGCGGUAAUACGGAGGGGGCUAGCGUUGUUCGGAAUUACUGGGCGUAAAGCGCACGUAGGCGGCUUGGUAAGUUAGAGGUGAAAGCCUGGAGCUCAACUCCAGAAUUGCCUUUAAGACUGCCGAGCUAGCAGGUGAGAGAGGUAAGUGGAAUUCCGAGUGUAGAGGUGAAAUUCGUAGAUAUUCGGAAGAACACCAGUGGCGAAGGCGGCUUACUGGCUCAUACUGGACACUGAGACACGAAAGCGUGGGGAGCAAACAGGAUUAGAUACCCGCGUAGUCCCUGUCUCUUAUAC